CCUACGGGAGGCUGCAGUGAGGAAUAUUGGUCAAUGGGCUUACGCCUGAACCAGCCAAGUCGCGUGAGGGAAGACUGCCCUAUGGGUUGUAAACCUCUUUAGGCGGGGAGCAAGGCCGGGCACGCGUGCCCGGAGGGAGAGGACCCGCAGAAGAAGCAGCGGCUAACUCCGUGCCAGCAGCCGCGGUAAUACGGAGGAUGCGAGCGUUAGCCGGAUUUAUUGGGUUUAAUGGGUGCGUAGGCGGAUUUUUAAGUCAGCGGUAAAAUGUCCGGGCUCAACCCGGGCCGGCCGUUGAAACUGGGGAUCUUGAGUGGGCGAGACGUAUGCGGAAUGCGUGUUGUAGCGGUGACAUGCAUAGCUAUCACGCAGAACUCCGAUUGCGAAGGCAGCAUACCGGCGCCCGACUGCCGCUGCGGCACG
rnacentral:rRNA from 1 species